CUCUAAUAGAAAUAAUUAUUAGUAAUAUCUGCUCAAUGAUAAAUUUAAAUAGCCGCAAUUAGUGCUAAGGUAGCAUAAUCAUUUGUCUUUUAAAUGAAGACUAGAACAAAAGAUUUAACAUUUUAAUUUAUCUUAAUAAUUUAACUAUUUUCAAAAUUUUACUAAAAGUAAAAAGACUUUUAUAUUUUAGAAAGACGACAAGACCCUAUUGAACUUAACUUAAGUUAAACUGGGGCAGUUAAUCAAUUAUUAUUUUAAUUCUACCCUAUUAAAAAAUAUCCUUUUUCAAAAGAAUUAUUCAGUUACCAUAGGGAUAACAGCGUAAUUAUUAUUUCAAGUUCUUAUAAUAAUAAUAGAUUGCGACCUCGAUGUUGAAUAAUAACCUAAUUUUUAAAGCAAGAUUUAAUAUAGGAAGUCUGUUCGACUUUUAAAAAAUUACA
rnacentral:rRNA from 1 species